GCGCUUCUUCACUGCCCUCCGGAAAGGCAAUGGCUCAGCCGGAACAGCCUGGGGGCCCACGCGUGUGGGUCCGGGGGUCGUCUGCGAGGCCUCGCGGUGGCUCCGUGGCGGCUGGAGGUAGUUUGAAGAGACCAGAUGCAAAGAGACACUUGGCUACCAGCAGGAGUGGAAGGGCAGAGCGGGCCGUGCUGAUGCGACUCCUGGUCUCCAGUGACCACGCCCAGGGGACCGGCCAGGGGCUUCCGCAGCACAAGCCAGGGGACCAGAGGAGCACGGGCAGUUUCAGAGAAUACACGUAAUAACAGCACGGAUAGAAGUAACGCAAACAGUUUCAAGAAAGACAGGGCUGAGCAGCGGGGAGCAGCCGCCUUCUCCGCGACCAUCGUCCUGGGGCCACUUCUCCAUAUGCUCCACUGUUGGGAGCCGCUCCGCAGAGAUGGAGUGAGCAGAGGCGGGACCAGCGGCUGCAUCAGACCCGAAGACCUGAGCCGGGUGCCCAGCCCGUCCCCUGAGACCUCCUGGGACGGGGAGGAGGGUUUCUGUCCUAGAAGUGAGGCCAGUGGCGUCCUGCUGGCUGUGAAGUUUGCUUUUAGUGAAGGGGAGCUCUCGUAGUGUGCGGGGUGCUGGAGAGUUCUGCUCUCCUUUCUAGGGGAAGCUUCUCAGGAAAAACAAAAAGCACUUGCUCACACCGUCUGGGUCUUUGAGUUCCUAAUAGAAACCUGGAAGGGGAUGUCCCUGUUCUGUAUGGAAUGGGGCUUUCUCGGGGCGGACACGGAGACUCACAGCGCCAGGGCCCCUGACUAAGGACAACCGUCACCUUUAGGUCCCUUCCAGGAAAACACUGUUCACUGAUCACAGAACAGACCCAGGCCCGCAGGCAGCAUUCCAGCAUUCCACCCGCUGUCCUCAGUCUGGUGAUGUUCUUCUCUCAUUUGACCUUCCUUCUUGGCCCUUGGUGUCUGUUCCACUGUCCCACGGCCCCUCUGCUCAGCUCUAGGACGAGGAACCUCCACGAGCUGUUUGCUGCCAGAAGCUUGGGGUCAUCAUUGUCCUUUGCUGUCUACUUUUGAGUAGCGGAGACUGUCUUCUCACACAGACAGCAUCGGCAUUUUAAAACCAAGACGCCGGGAGGGACUGUGGUAUGGAAGGGAAUGCAGUUGCCGGGCAGGGAAGGGCAGACCCCCUGGUUCCAGGCCCCCCAGGAGCUGUCAACAAUGGCCAGACCUGGGAGCCCCGGGGCUGCAGCCUAGAUGGGCACAUCCAUCUGUCCGUCUGCCUGUCUACCUAAAGAGCGGGACU
rnacentral:lncRNA from 1 species